GGAGCCAUCGUACCCAAUCGAGAUUCGCAAAAAUCCACAAACCUCGAUACAUCUGAAAAAACUCUGAAACUGGCACAAUUGAGAAUCAUAUUUUCCUUUACCAUUUUACACAGGAAGAAGAAAGAAUCAGUAAAGCUCACUACUUUUGGAGCAAAUAAAAAAACAAAAAGUGACACAAAAGCUGAACUCAAAAGGGGAAAAGGUGACAGAAGAG
rnacentral:lncRNA from 1 species